AUACGUAGGGGGCGAGCGUUGUCCGGAAUGAUUGGGCGUAAAGGGCGCGUAGGCGGCCCGGUAAGUCUGGAGUGAAAGUCCUGUUUUUAAGAUGGGAAUUGCUUUGGAUACUGUCGGGCUUGAGUGUAGGAGAGGUAAGUGGAAUUCCCAGUGUAGCGGUGCAAUGCGUAGAGAUUGGGAGGAACACCAGGGGCGAGGGCGACUUCCUGGACUGUAACUGACGUUGAGGCGCGAAAGUGGGGGGACCAAACAGAAUUAAAUACCCUGGUAGCCCACAGUGUAAACGAGAAUUCCUAGUUGUGGGGGUUACGACCCCUUCUUUGCCCGAGGCAACACAAAUAGCAAUUCGGCUUGGGAGUACGGCCGCAAGGUUGAAACUCAAAGGAAUUGACGGGG
rnacentral:rRNA from 1 species